ensembl:lncRNA
GCUUCUGGCUCUGACAUACCUAUGCUUUAGUAAAAAAACAAUUGCUUCCAUAAUACAGGAAGAAACAAUGGAAUGAUAAAAUCUAAGUGUAUUGGAAACAAGCAUUCUGUAUGAAACUUGUGGUUUGCUGUCCAUUUUGUAAGACUUAAUCUUCUCUCUACAGUAGGGAUUUUUUGGCAGCUCUGGUGAUUCCACAUUAUGUUUGUGUAUGUUUUGCUGUAGGGUAUAACCUCAUAUUGUUCCUAGUUUCGACACAAAGGAUGGAAUAAGUAAAUAUGAGUGUAUGUAAAGUAUACACCCAAAGAUGCAUACACAUACACACACAAAUAUAUAUAUAUAUGUGUUUAGCAGUAGGUAUUUGUGAAAUCAGGUAACAGAUGGUUCUGUGACACUGUGAACAUCCUAUAGACUACUAGCAGCAAUUUCCUAGUGUGCAUAAGCUUAAAGGUUUUUGAAAAAAUUCUUUGGGACUGUAGCAUACCAUUUUCUGGUGUAUUGAGUUUCUGAUCAGAUUUCAUUGUUACUUUUUUAUGCAGCCUGCCUUAUUCCUUUCCUUUCAAGCCUUGCUCUUGGGUGACAGUUAUUGAAGCAGGAGCUCAAUUGUUCUGGUCCAUCUUUCUUAGAGAUGGAAAGCCUAAUCUGUCGCCAAGACCCAUUAUCCUUCGACUUGAGGUCAGACAGUACAUCUUGCUUAUUGAAUCAGGGAAUAGUGCGUGUUUUAUGAAGACAGAAAGGAAAAGAUAAGUUUGCUCUUGCAACCUUCUCCUGUUUAUUAGUGUGUAUAGUUGCUACCACUACCAUAAUGAGAGAGCUGUAUUUUAAAACUUGCAGAACAAUGUAAAUAGGUAGCACCUAUUGAAAAAGAAUGAAUUUGUCCUGUACUCCACCACUAUGUGGGAUGGCUCUGUGAUGAGGAGCACAGCAUUUCUGAAACAAUUCUGGUUUUGAUGUGUUGUCUGGUUAGCUUGACUUUACCUGUAUUAAGUUUGAAAACAUUUCUUAUGUGUGUUUUGUGCUUUGCCUGAGCUCAAGCAUCUCUAAGUACUUCCAAUCUCCUCAUAAAUACACCUUUGUAUUCUGCCUAAUAUAUAAACAUCACGACCCAUGUCUGAGAAUGUUGGGAAUUUUAUUAGGUUCAUAAAGUUUUAGUUGCGGUCUAGCCCAAUGGGUCCAAAAUAAAUAAACGCAGAGAGCAAAAAGAGUAACAAUUUUGUACUUAUUUCUUCUCCUCUCCCCUGAGAGUUUCCCCAGUACUGGUGAAGUACUUGCUGCAGUGGUUUCUGUGGCUUGCUAUCAAAGUAUCUGCAAGCCAGUAAGUGAGAGACAGAUGCAGAGUGUAAAAGCUGGGGGAAAGUAACUGAAAUAGUCCUGUUAAUGCAUUUCACUGAUUUCCUUGGUCUCUUUCCAUCUUAAGGAUAGACAGAAAUUGUGAAUAAUCAUGAAUGACUUGUCACAGCCAUGUUCCCUCUGUUGCUGUUCUGAGUGAAGGUGCUUGGUCGGGACAGCCUCCUAAACCCUGUGGAUGGAACAUGUAAACAAUCAGCCUGGCAGGAUGGAAACCUCUCUUUUAGCAUAUAGGGAGACCUGACUGCUGGACUGAGAUCUUCAGUUUGGGGUGGCCCUUUCUCUGGCUCCAGACAGUGUCAUUGUUCCUCCCUUAGCACAGAGCUGGCUUUGCCUACAGCAUCCACCACUGACAGCUAAGUGUGAUGCAACAGUACAGAAAAGGAGCUAUCAACAAUGCUAACAUCUUCACCUGAGCCAUGGGUGAGUGCAGUCUUUGCUUCAGGGUAUUACACUCCAUAGAUAUUUCAGGCAUCUCUCCCUCAGCAGACCCACUG